AGAGUUUGAUCAUGGCUCAGGAUGAACGCUAGCGGCAGGCCUAACACAUGCAAGUCGAGGGGUAACAUAGGAAAGCUUGCUUUUCUGAUGACGACCGGCGCACGGGUGCGUAACGCGUAUACAACCUGCCUUUUAGCGGGGAAUAGCCCAGGGAAACUUGGAUUAAUGCCCCAUAGUAUGGAGAUCUCUCCUGAGAUUUUCAUUAAACAUUUAUGGCUAUUAGAUGGGUAUGCGUCCUAUUAGUUAGUUGGUAAGGUAACGGCUUACCAAGGCAGCGAUAGGUAGGGGUCCUGAGAGGGAGAUCCCCCACACUGGUACUGAGACACGGACCAGACUCCUACGGGAGGCAGCAGUGAGGAAUAUUGGACAAUGGGCGAGAGCCUGAUCCAGCCAUGCCGCGUGCAGGAAGACUGCCCUAUGGGUUGUAAACUGCUUUUACAGAGGAAGAACCACCCCCACGUGUGGGGGUUUGACGGUACUCUGCGAAUAAGGAUCGGCUAACUCCGUGCCAGCAGCCGCGGUAAUACGGAGGAUCCAAGCGUUAUCCGGAAUCAUUGGGUUUAAAGGGUCCGUAGGCGGGCAGUUAAGUCAGUGGUGAAAGUCUUCCGCUCAACGGGAGAACUGCCAUUGAUACUGAUUGUCUUGAGUUAUUAUGAAGUGGUUAGAAUGAGUAGUGUAGCGGUGAAAUGCAUAGAUAUUACUCAGAAUACCGAUUGCGAAGGCAGAUCACUAAUAAUAUACUGACGCUGAUGGACGAAAGCGUAGGUAGCGAACAGGAUUAGAUACCCUGGUAGUCUACGCCGUAAACGAUGGUUACUAGCUGUUCGGCCCAAUUGAGGGCUGAGUGGUUAAGCGAAAGUGAUAAGUAACCCACCUGGGGAGUACGUUCGCAAGAAUGA
rnacentral:rRNA from 1 species